rnacentral:piRNA from 1 species
UGAGUUGUGCCUGGCCAAAUGCAGGACCUC